rnacentral:tRNA from 3 species
AGGCCAGUAGCUCAACUGGCAGAGCGUCGGUCUCCAAAACCGAAGGUUGGGGGUUCGAUCCCUCCCUGGCCUG